UAACACGUAGGGGGCAAGCGUUGUUCGGAAUUACUGGGCGUAAAGGGCAUGUAGGCGGUUUUGUAAGCCUGGCGUGAAAUUCUGCAGCUUAACUGUAGGACUGCGCUGGGAACUGCGAGACUGGAGUCACGGAGAGGGAGCCAGAAUUCCAGGUGUAGGGGUGAAAUCUGUAGAUAUCUGGAAGAAUACCAAUGGCGAAGGCAGGCUUCUGGCCGAUGACUGACGCUGAGGUGCGAAAGCGUGGGUAGCAAACAGG
rnacentral:rRNA from 1 species